UACGAAGGGUGCAAGCGUUACUCGGAAUUACUGGGCGUAAAGGGUGCGUAGGGGGUUUUUUAAGUCCGUUGUGAAAUCCCUGGGCUCAACCUGGGAAUGGCAGUGGAUACUGGAAAGCUAGAGUGCGGUAGAGGGUAGUGGAAUUCCCGGUGUAGCAGUGAAAUGCGUAGAUAUCAGGAGGAACACCGGUGGUGUAAACGGCUUUCUGGACCAUAACUGACGCUGAGGCACGAAAGCGUGGGUAGCAAACAGG
rnacentral:rRNA from 1 species